UUUUAUGAAAGUUGUUUUAAAAAUUUUGGUCCUUUUUCUAAAUUUAAAUAUGUCAAAAUUUUUUAGUACAAUUAGAGUCAGUAAAUUAGUCUAUGAUCAAUUAAAAAAUCGUAAAUUUUCGUCAUCCAAGUCAGAUAGUAUCACAGCAGACCAGUGGGAAGAAGCAAAAUCGAAACUUGAAAAACUCCAAGAAAGGAUCAGUGGGGUCAAAGCGACUAAUAAUGAAGAAUUAAAAGCACGAAAUAGUAAGACAAAGCUCCUUGAGAUGGUUCAACAGGUUUUACGGACAAAAUUAGAACAUGAUUAGAUUCAUUCAUUUUUUGUGAUACCUUCAUGUUGCAAAUAAGAACUCGAUAAACUUAAGAAUUGCAUCCAAAGACCAAGAAAUGUAUACCGGUAUCGUAAAGCGGUGAAUGCAAGGUGUAUCUGAUCAAAUUGGAAGCUGAAGACUGUCUUUUGUUGAUUUUAUGGUUAAUCUCAAUGUUGAGUGCCAGAGCAAUGCUUUCCAAAAAAAGCCAUACUUUCACAAGUAUGGUACCUUUAUACAUCUCGGAAACGAUCUUUCCGAUAGAAAAAAAUAAUAUGCUGCUUCUCAUUUACUUUGUCUAAAAGUAAUAAGUCAUGUGUAUAGAAAUCCUUACUACAUAUUGUCUACAGCGAUUUUCUGAAAUGAAGAGGUAAUUAUGCCGAAUAACCUUGAGAGGAGCGCACGUAAAUACUCUAAAUAUCCUGUGUAGAAAAUUUAGUGAGGCAAUAAGGUUUUUUGAAAAUGUGACAAAGUUCAAAAGGUCGUAUUCAAGUCUGUAUAAAUUCCACAACAACUAAGCUGAAGUAAACCAAUGACUGACUGGAACCAGGUCCUUUAUUUUUUGUUACAAAAUUUCUUGUGAAAUCCAUUCCUGUUAUAUAUUUUGUAUAAAUAAAUAAUAAAGUUUUA